rnacentral:rRNA from 1 species
AGCUCCAUUAGCGUAUAUUAAAGUUGUUGCAGUUAAAAAGCUCGUAGUUGGAUUUCAGUACGGGCCAGUUGGUCGGCCGCAAGGCCUGUUACUGGCUGGUCUGUUCUUCUUGUCAAAGACUGCGUGUGCUCUUCGUUGAGUGUGCGUAGGAUUUGGGACGUUUACUUUGAAAAAAUUAGAGUGUUCAAGGCAGGCUUUUCAGCUUGAAUACAUGAGCAUGGAAUAAUGGAAUAGGACUUUGGUCUUAUUUUGUUGGUUUCUGAGACCGAAGUAAUGAUUAAGAGGGACAAUUGGGGGCAUCCGUAUUUCGUUGUCAGAGGUGAAAUUCAUGGAUUUACGAAAGACGAACAACUGCGAAAGCACUUGCCAAGAGUGUUUUCAUUAAUCAAGAACGAAAGUA